AGGAUGGGUCACUUGGAAGAAUUGUAAAUGAUGACCAUAUAAAUCCCAAUGCCAAGAUGAAGACCUUGACAGUGGAAGGGAAGCCCCAUCUGUGUUUGUUUGCAACACGUGACAUAAGUCCAGGAGAGGAGAUCACCUAUAAUUAUGGUGACUCAGACUGGCCGUGGAGAUGCAAGACACUUGAAGAAACGUCUACGAAGGGGCAAAAGGCUGAGGUAUCACCCAUAUCAGAGCCCUCUACAAGUACUCAAAAGGCAUCAACAGGUCGGCGACCAAAAAAAGCAUCUUCGACUGCAUCAACUGGUCUUAUCAAAAGCUUUGAUGAGCAGUGUCAAAAUCAUCGCCUUGUGUGCACAACAGUAUCCUCCUUGGACAGAUGCAUUCAGUGUGUGGGGCCUGUAUCCUCCUUUAAGUGGCUUGGCUAU